UACGUAGGGGGCAAGCGUUGUCCGGAAUCAUUGGGCGUAAAGAGCGUGUAGGCGGCCCGAUAAGUCCGCUGUGAAAGUCCAGGGCCCAACCCUGGGAUGCCGGUGGAUACUGUCGGGCUCGAGUCCGGAAGAGGAGUGUGGAAUUCCUGGUGUAGCGGUGAAAUGCGCAGAUAUCAGGAGGAACACCGAUGGCGAAGGCAGCUCGCUGGGACGGUACUGACGCUGAGGCGCGAAAGCGUGGGGAGCAAACAGG
rnacentral:rRNA from 1 species